UACGAAGGGUGCAAGCGUUACUCGGAAUUACUGGGCGUAAAGCGUGCGUAGGUGGUUCGUUAAGUCUGAUGUGAAAGCCCUGGGCUCAACCUGGGAAUUGCAUUGGAAACUGGCGGGCUAGAGUACGGUAGAGGGUAGUGGAAUUCCUGGUGUAGCAGUGAAAUGCGUAGAGAUCAGGAGGAACAUCCGUGGCGAAGGCGACUACCUGGACCAGUACUGACACUGAGGCACGAAAGCGUGGGGAGCAAACAGGAUUAGAUACCCGCGUA
rnacentral:rRNA from 1 species